UGCUAUUAGAAAGCACAUUUUAUAAUACGUGUGUCUGUGAAAAAGUGUGUGUGUAUCAUCAUUUUCCAUUUGUGAUUGCAGGUGCCUGUGGGGACAUCAUGACGACCCAGUCUCCAGGCUGCUCGGCAGUGUCUCUAGGAUAGAGUCGAGAUGAAGUGCAAGACCAGUCAGAGUGUUUACUACUACCUACUUAGCCUGGUAGCAGAAAAAUCUAGGCCAGGCUCCUAAGCUGCUCACCUACUUGGCAUCCACUCGGGCUACAGGGGUCCCUGACCGAUUCAGUGGCAGUAGGUCUGGAACAGAUUUCACACUCACCAUCAGCAGCCUCCAGGCUGAAGAUGUGGCAGUUUAUUACCGUCAGCAGGAGUAUAGUUCUCCUCCCACAGUGCUUCAGCCUCGAACACAAACGUCCUCCCCAAAGCCAUGCGUCAGUGACUCUUUGCUGCACAAGCAGCUUCCUCCUCACACAACUGUGAACAUGCACAUUCCUUUAUCUACCUGACAGGUUGUAUCUCCUUAUUCCUUGAAUGUUUUGUAGGGCCCAGUAUAAAAUUAAGGGAAUUUGCUUUCUCUGGAUCCCUUUUUGUGGGAGAUUAUUGAAAAAAGAUGCUGUACAGAACUCUUAGAGAUCAGGAGGUUUUGUGUCACAGGACCUGCAUGUUUCCCAUGGACUGAUUUGCAUGAUUCAGCCAAGAAGGUUUGUCUCUACCCUCUGGGAGAAGGGUUCAGUGAAUUUUACACCUUGAUGAAUCAAUUCUCACUUCUCUGCCUCUCCUUGACUCUGGAACAUUUCUAGUUUAAUUCCACAUUCUCCUGGACUCCUUUUUUUAUCUGCAAUCAUCCUUCUAAGUCUGGACUGUCCCAGUAAUAAACACUUGAUCCCUCCCAUUCAAAACCUUCCACAAAGAAGGCAGUAUCCCUCUCUUGCUUUUUGUUUCUUUGGAUGCUGUUUUCCAGCCGAGCCUUUCUGGUCAGUGUCACUGAAGUUGCUUUCCUACUCUAUGUCCUUUUGUACCAGCCUUUUAUCUUGUCUCCAUUUCCUCCAUCGUACUCAUUCUUACAAAGGCAGUUCUCUACUUCUUUAACCCUGUCCCUCUAGAAAUCUGUAGUGUUUUCUAUUACCUUUUUUCAUCAUUUGUUCACUUUCUCUUUAAGUCCAUCCCAAUAGGCCCUCAAGUCUAACUUUGUGACUGAAGGUUAUCAUGGCUCUAAGCGUGCUAUACCUUGAGUCCCUUGGACAACAUUUAAUUAGAAUGCCAAUUUUAGUGUAAGAAUGGAGAAACUUGGUCAUUUAUAGUAUUUUUUCUUCACUUGCUUUAGAAAUACAUGGGUUAGUGAGAUUUCACUUCAGGAAAGAUGACAGAAAACCUGAUCAGUGUAGCCUGAACACUCUUACUUGCAUAGCACCUUAUUGUAAUAAUUAAAAAUAUAUUGAAAGCAUUGAUAUUGAGCAAUCUAUGUCACUCAUUCAUUCAAGAUAUGUUUUUUUUGAGUGCUUAAUAUGUGUCAAAAGCAAAAAUACCCACUUUCAGUCCAAUUGGGGGAGCCAACUGGAUAAGUGAUUUGGUAAAUAUUUAGUCUGUUGUUUUGUAAGUGUUAUAAAGAAAAAUAAAGCAAGGAAGAGGUAAAAGCAUGCAGGGGUAAGAAUGAGUAGAAAUUUAAAAC
ensembl:lncRNA